UAUAAUGUCCUAAUAACAAAAGUUGUCCGUCAGCAAUGCAAUUACACAUGCCAUGUUAUCAACAGCAUUGGUGGUACGGGGUUUUCUAGGACAGAUGUUCAUUCGUCUGGUAUUUUGAUAACACUUUGCGAUUAGUGCAAUGCAAAUAUAAAAAUUAUGAGAAUGUCAACAGGCCGCUAGCAAGCUCACGACUGUGGUUGAACUACAGAUGUAAGGAUUUGCUAAUGAUAAUAGGCAUGGCAUCAAGUCCAUUUCUUCAACAGGCACGUCAUUACCAGUUUCCACAAAAAAAAUGCCGAGGACCUAUCUACUGCCGAAGUUUUGCUUAAGAACUGGGUUGGAUGAUAAGGACACAAUAGGGUCACUGCACUCCACAUACUCACCUCCACGUGCCAUUUUGCCGAACGACGGAAUGAUCCUAAGUUACAAGUCAUAAUCAAGUUCAAACAGACAAGACUCCGAGCCGAUUUAAAAGCAACCGAUUUUUGACCACACGAUGUGAUGUCAUAUUUUCUGUUCGGUGCCGUAUUGUCGGUCUUAUUUUCAACUUACGCUUAUGGAUUUCUUCGGAAUUUGACACUCGUCGAUAUACAGUAUCACUGGUCAACGGAAUGUGCAGUAGUAAAGAUACUUGUAAAAGAGUAGGCCUAAUUGGAUUAUAGGAGCACCUUUGCAACAGGAUAGGCCUGAUAUCUGAGGUAGAUGGUUACUUAGUAUCCGACAGGUU